rnacentral:rRNA from 1 species
CAUGGAGGGUGAGAAUCCCGUCUGUGACCGGUCGUGCGUUCAUCUACGAUACGCUUUCAAAGAGUCGAGUUGUUUGGGAUUGCAGCUCCAAAUGGGUGGUAAACAUCACCUAAGGCUAAAUAUUGGCGAGAGACCGAUAGCGAACAAGUACCGUGAGGGAAAGAUGAAAAGAACUUUGAAAAGAGAGUUAAAUAGUACGUGAAAUUGUUGAAAGGGAAACGCUUGAAGUCAGUCGUGCUGGCGCGAAAUCAACCAGACCGUUGAGCGAUCACCUGCCGUGGCGAGCCUCAAAACCGCCACGGCUCGUGACCACUUAACGGUCUGGUGCACUUUUGUGUCGGCUGGUUAACGUCAAUUUCUCACGUCAUAAAAAGGCUGGAGGGAUGUGGCUCCUUCGGGAGUGUUAUAACCUUUAGCGGAAUGUGGUGUUUGGGAUUGAGGAUUGCAACGAAUACCUUUAGGGCUGUUCCACCUGGUCUCUCUUUGGCAUCUUGGCGGCGACAGCUUGCUGACGUUGUUAAGAGUUGACAUUGAACAGGCUAGAGUGUGGGCAAAUUCGUUAAGGAUGUUGACGUAAUGG